GGGAGGAGGGGGGGAGAGAGACGUCAGGUCACAUCACAAACACUUCUGUUCACUUCCUGCUUUGAUUCAGGGUGUUCGCUAACCCCCCCCCCCCCAAGGGUGACCGUCCAAUCACAGCUCAGCAGCAGCAUCACUCGGCGCAGCAGGAAACGAGACAUUCAACACACGAACAGACGAAAAGUCACAUUGGCUCGGCUGCUCACCUGAGCGGAAGCAGGGUUGGAAGAGAGUGAGGAGGAGGAGGAGGAGGAGGAGGAAGAAGAGGAGGAGGAGGAGGAGGAUGGGGCAGGUCGCAUUGCAGACAAUCCAUGUGGAUUUGUACAAAAGGGGCGGAGCCAGGAAUGGAACGGUUCAGACACCAGAGACUGAAAACCGUGACAACAGGAGAUCGUGGACGUUUGGACCGAACCGCGAAGACACCACGACCUCCCGAACCUCCCGAACCAACCGAACCAACCGAACCUCC